rnacentral:rRNA from 1 species
AUUGAACGCUGGCGGCAUGCCUUACACAUGCAAGUCGAACGGCAGCACGGGAGCAAUCCUGGUGGCGAGUGGCGAACGGGUGAGUAAAGUAUCGGAACGUGCCCAGUCGUGGGGGAUAACGUAGCGAAAGUUACGCUAAUACCGCAUACGAUCUAUGGAGGAAAGCGGGGGAUCGCAAGACCUCGCGCGAUUGGAGCGGCCGAUAUAAGAUUAGGUAGUUGGUGGGGUAAAGGCUCACCAAGCCGACGAUCUGUAGCUGGUCUGAGAGGACGACCAGCCACACUGGGACUGAGACACGGCCCAGACUCCUACGGGAGGCAGCAGUGGGGAAUUUUGGACAAUGGGCGAAAGCCUGAUCCAGCCAUGCCGCGUGCAGGAUGAAGGCCUUCGGGUUGUAAACUGCUUUUGUACGGAACGAAAAGGUUUGGCCUAAUAAGCUGAGCUCAUGACGGUACCGUAAGAAUAAGCACCGGCUAACUACGUGCCAGCCGCCGCGGUAA